rnacentral:rRNA from 1 species
CCUACGGGAGGCAGCAGUGGGGAAUAUUGCACAAUGGGGGAAACCCUGAUGCAGCGACGCCGCGUGAGUGAAGAAGUAUUUCGGUAUGUAAAGCUCUAUCAGCAGGGAAGAAAAUGACGGUACCUGAAUAAGAAGCCCCGGCUAACUACGUGCCAGCAGCCGCGGUAAUACGUAGGGGGCAAGCGUGAGCCGGAUUUACGGGGUGUAAAGGGAGCGUAGACGGCAGCACAAGUCUGGAGUGAAAUGCCCGGGCUUAACCCCGGGACUGCUUUGGAAACUGUGCAGCUAGAGUGAAGGAGAGGUAAGUGGAAUUCCCAGUGUAGCGGUGAAAUGCGUAGAUAUUAGGAGGAACACCAGUGGCGAAGGCGGCUUACUGGACUGUAACUGACGUUGAGGCACGAAAGCGUGGGGAGCAAACAGGAUUAGAUACCCCAGUAGUC